rfam:Gracilibacter sp. BRH_c7a BRHa_1005394, whole genome shotgun sequence.
UAACCGUAUCCGAGAGGGUACGCUGAACCUGCAGAAGUCAGCAGAGGCCAUAGAAAUCGGAAGGGC